GACGUAGGGGGCGAGCGUUGUCCGGAUUUAUUGGGCGUAAAGAGCUCGUAGGCGGCUCGUUGCGUCGGCUGUGAAAACCCGCAGCUCAACUGUGGGCUUGCAGCCGAUACGGGCGGGCUGGAGUUCGGUAGGGGAGACUGGAAUUCCUGGUGUAGCGGUGAAAUGCGUAGAUAUCGUAAGGAAGACCAGUGGCGAAGGCGGGUCUCUGGACAGUUCCUGACGCUGAGGCACGAAGGCCAGGGGAGCAAACGGG
rnacentral:rRNA from 1 species